rnacentral:rRNA from 1 species
CCUACGGGAGGCUGCAGUCGAGAAUAUUCCCCAAUGGCCGAAAGGCUGAGGGAGCGACGCCGCGUGCAGGACGAAGGGCUUCGGCUCGUAAACUGCUUUUUUCAGGGAAGAACACUGACGGUACCUGAAGAAUAAGAGGUUGCUAACUCUGUGCCAGCAGCAGCGGUAAUACAGAGACCUCAAACGUUGUCCGGAUUUAUUGGGCGUAAAGGGUCCGCAGGUGGUUGUGUGCGUCAAUGGUCAAAGCAACGGGCUCAACCCGUUGACCGCCGUUGAUACGGCACAACUCGAGCAUGGGAGAGGUAAGCGGAAUUGCCGGUGUAGUAGUAAAAUGCGUUCAUAUCGGCAAGAACACCAAAUGCGAAGGCAGCUUACUGGAACAUUGCUGACACUCAGGGACGAAAGCGUGGGGAGCGAAAGGGAUUAGAUACCCUGGUAGUC